rnacentral:rRNA from 1 species
AGCGAACGCUGGCGGCAGGCUUAACACAUGCAAGUCGAACGCCAUCUUCGGAUGGAGUGGCAGACGGGUGAGUAACGCGUGGGAACGUACCCUUUGGUUCGGAAUAUUCUCGGGAAACUGAGAGCAAUACCGGAUAAGCCCUACGGGGGAAAGAUUUAUCGCCAAAGGAGCGGCCCGCGUCAGAUUAGGUAGUUGGUGGGGGUAAAAGGCCUACCAAGCCUACGAUCUGUAGCUGGUCUGAGAGGAUGAUCAGCCACACUGGGACUGAGACACGGCCCAGACUCCUACGGGAGGCAGCAGUGGGGAAUCUUGGACAAUGGGCGCAAGCCUGAUCCAGCCAUGCCGCGUGGAUGAUGAAGGCCUUAGGGUUGUAAAAUCCUUUCAACGGGGACGAUAAUGACGGUACCCGUAGAAGAAGCCCCGGCUAACUUCGUG